GCCUAAAGAAGGUGGUAAGCUCCAACUAAGGCUAAAUAUCACUGUGAGACCGAUAGCAAACAAGUACCGUGAGGGAAAGUUGCAAAGAACUUUGAAGAGAGAGUUCAACAGGACGUGAAACCGUUUGCAGGGAAACAGAUGGACCCACGAAGUCCAGUUGAGUGUGAAAUUCAUAUUUCAAGACUAGUCAAGCUAAAUUACAUACUUCGAAAGAAUAUGUUUUUUAGCUUUUGACUGUCAAGAGAUGCAUUUUUCACAUUCACGAUGGAGCUCUGACUUCUUAGUCUAACCAUGCUGCUUAGGGCAGCUCAUAAAUGUAGUAGAACUCUUGUGGUUCUCGAUACAUUUUUGAGUGUGCAGCAAGGUUUAACUGAGAGGUUGAAUUUCUCACGUUUGUGAGUGAUUCAGUUUAUCAGUGAGUAUACUAGCUAAGGAAGGCGGCAGGUGGCAAUUUGCGAUUCUUGUAGUUGAAAUUGUCAUUCGUUCGCUUUCCAAGAUAGCUAGUAUAUUUGCUUAUGAUAAUCUAGAGUAAGUAGGUCGGUCAUCCAUCUGACC
rnacentral:rRNA from 1 species